UUCGGGUCUAGCGGCGGACGGGUUAGUAACGCGUGGGAACGUACCCUUUUCUACGGAAUAGCCUUUGGAAACGAAGAGUAAUACCGUAUACGCCCUUUGGGGGAAAGAUUUAUCGGAGAAGGAUCGGCCCGCGUUAGAUUAGAUAGUUGGUGGGGUAAUGGCCUACCAAGUCUACGAUCUAUAGCUGGUUUUAGAGGAUGAUCAGCAACACUGGGACUGAGACACGGCCCAGACUCCUACGGGAGGCAGCAGUGGGGAAUCUUAGACAAUGGGCGCAAGCCUGAUCUAGCCAUGCCGCGUGAGUGAAGAAGGCCUUAGGGUCGUAAAGCUCUUUCGCCAGGGAUGAUAAUGACAGUACCUGGUAAAGAAACCCCGGCUAACUCCGUGCCAGCAGCCGCGGUAAUACGGAGGGGGUUAGCGUUGUUCGGAAUUACUGGGCGUAAAGCGCACGUAGGCGGAUUAGAAAGUUAGAGGUGAAAUCCCAGGGCUCAACCCUG
rnacentral:rRNA from 1 species